UACGAAGGGGGCUAGCGUUGCUCGGAUUGACUGGGCGUAAAGGGCGCGUAGGCGGUUCGUACAGUCAGACGUGAAAUUCCUGGGCUCAACCUGGGGGCUGCGUUUGAUACGUGCGGACUUGAGUGCGGAAGAGGGUCGUGGAAUUCCCGGUGUAGCGGUGAAAUGCGCAGAUAUCGGGAGGAACACCAAUGGCGAAGGCAGCUCGCUGGGACGGUACUGACGCUGAGGCGCGAAAGCGUGGGGAGCAAACAGG
rnacentral:rRNA from 1 species